UUGUAGCAUAGUUACAAAAUUUGGACUUAAUAGAACAGCACAUGGUAAGGGAAAGUGGAAGAUACAGUUGACAUGGUAGACUGCAAGCAGAAUACCAGAGGUCUUGAAAGCUGAGCAAAUUAUUUAUUAUUUUAUUUUUUAAAUGAAAUAAAUUUACAUCCAAAUUAGUUAGCAUAUAGUGCAACAAUGAUUUCUGGAGUAGAUUCCUUAGUGCCCCUUACCCAUUUAGCCCAUCCCCCCUCCCACAACCCCUCGAAGUAGCCCUCAGUUUGUUCUCCAUAUUUAUGAGUCUCUUCUGUUUGUCCCCCUUCCUGUUUUUAUAUUAAAGUCCUCAUAUGAGUGAAGUCAUAUGAUUUUUGUCUUUCUCUAAUUUCACUUAGCAUAAUACCCUCCAAUACCCUCCAGUUCCAUCCAUGUAGUUGGAAAUGGCAAGAUUUCGUUCUUUUUGAUUGCCAAGUAAUACUCCAUUGUAUAUAUAUAUAUAUACCACAUCUUCUUUAUCCACUCAUCCACCGAUGGACAUUUGGGUUCUUUCCAUAUUUUAGCUAUUGUUGCUAGUGCUGCUAUAAACAUGGGGGUGCAUGUGUCCCUUCGAAACAGGACACCUGUAUCCCCUGGAUAAAUACCUAGUAGUGCAAUUGCUGGGUGGUAGGGUAGUUCUAUUUUUAGUUUUUUGAGGAACCUCCACACUGUUUUCCAGAGUGGCUACACCAGCUUGCAUUCCCAGAGCAAGCAAAUACAGCACCUUUAAUGGGCUUUGGGUGGGGGGAGACAUAUGAAACAAAGCUGAAAUAAUGCAGGGAAGAUAGACAAGUAUCCUGGCAGGAGUUAAAAUUUAGCCUAGAAGAUUAAUUGUGGGAAUGACAGAGCCCCAGACCAGGGAAAUUUCACUGGUCCCGUGAUGAGGUUCACAGAUCAGAGACUUCAAAGGUGAUGGAAACUUCAAGAUCAACCAAUAAACCCAUCCUCUUCCAGUGCACCAGAAAGUCAAGAUCCAGAUAGGGGUCCACUUCUCCAAGACCAAAAAGCCUGAAGGGGGAGUAUAAAGCCCCAAAGCUGUAAAACUAAAUGAAAAUACAAGCGGUCCUUCAUAGCAUUGCUUUAAGUCCUUACGACUACACAUGUAAGAGCACAAUACAUGGAGCUGUCCAAGUGAGAACGCAGUAAAUCAUAAUCCAUGCCUGCUACUAAAAUAUUUUCGAAUGAAACUCUAUGACGCCUGGUACUGCAAAAACUAAGGAGGGAAGUGAUCAGGGGCUGGGAGAAGAGGAGGAGAGACCCUAAUAAAACAAAAUUAAGGUUAGUAAUAGGUAAAUGGGAUUCAUGAUACUCACCUCACUAUUUGAAUAUAUGUUAGAAAAUUUCUUAAAAGAGUUCUUGGGUUUUUAUCUUAAUGCCUGUAAUGUGUGGCAUUUGUCCUAAAAUAUAUUUAGGGCUUGUUUUUUUACUAUGGUUUUCUCUGUCCACAUUAUCUUACUAUCAUGGCAUAUGGGACCCACAUAGCUGUCUCAUAACUCAGUUUCAGUUGCUUAAUACAAUGAUUGCCAUUUUUUUUUCUGGAGACUUUCAGGACCCUCCAGUAGAUUUUAAAGACUUUGUCAAUCCAUUCUGAAAAUGCCCUCUAAUUUGGUGAAAACUCAUCCAGUUUUGUUUUGGUUUUUUUUAAUGCUGUGGUAAUACUAGAACCUUAUUUUCCUAGUACAUAGGUAGACAGACUUUCCACGGGGUUUAGGGCAAGGCAUUUCACUUUAUAAUAGGUAUAGGAAUGUGUCAACAUGCAGCAAAGAAUUUAGUAGGAUUAGCUCAAGAGCACUGUGCAGAAAGACUAUGUGAACCCUUAAAGUUCUGUUCCAGGAGAAAUUGGCUUCAAAAUUGGUUCCUUUGCCCCUAGGCAGAGAUUGGAGAUUAUUCUUUACACUUUUAGAAGUGUAAAGUGCAUGGGUAAGUACCAAACCUUUGUCUAAGUUAAGGGAGUGGACACACAUGCUCUAUGUUUUUCUCCCUGUGAUUUUUAUACAUUCUAUUUUCCAAGAUGAAGUGCCACCGAACACCCAAAUAGCCAAAACAAUCUUGAGAAAGAAGAGCUAGAGGCAUUAUGUUCCCUGACUUCAAAGGAUAUUAACAAAGCUAUAAUAAUCAAAACAGUAUGGUAUUGGCAUAGGAAGAGACACAUGGAUCAAUGGAACAGAGAGCCCAGAAAUAAACCCACGCAUAUAUGUCCCAACUAAUUCAUGACCCAAGAGCCAAGAAUAUACCCAUGGGGAAAAGACAGUCUCUUUAAUAACUCGUGUUGAGAAAACUGAACAGCUUCAGCAAAAGAAUGAAACUCAACCACUAUCUUCUACCAUACAUGAAAAUGAGCUCAGGGGUGCCUGGCUGGCUCAGUUGGUACAGUGUGCAACUCUUGAUCUCAGGGUUAUGAAUUCAGGUCCCACGUUGGGUGUAGGAAAUACUUAAAUCUUAAAAAAAAAAAAAAAAAAGGCUCAAAAUGGAUUAAAGACUUGAAUGUAAGACCUGAAACCAUGAAACUCCUAGAAGAACACAGGUGGUAAGCUCCUUGGCAUCAGUCUUCAUGAUUUUUUUUGGAUCUAACUUCAAAGGCAACAAAAGCAAAAACAAACAAGUAGCCCUGUACAAACCAAAAAAACCUGCACAGCAAAGGAAACCAUCAAUGAAAUGAAAAGGCAACCUACUGAAUGGGAGAAAAUAUUUGCAAAUCAUAUAUCUGAUAAGAUGUUAACACUCAAAAUAUAUUACCAACUCCUACAACUCAAUAGAAAACAGUCUAAUUAAAAAAUAAGGAUUUCAAAUAGAUAUUUUUCCAAAGAAGACAUACAAAUGCUAGCAGGUACAUGAAAAGGAGCUCAAUAUCACUAAUAUCAGGGAAAUGCAAAUCAAAACCACAACGAGAUACCAUACCUCAAACCUGUUAGAAUGGCUGGUAUCAGCAAGACAGGAAUUAAGUGUUAGGAUGUGGAGAACUCGUGUGCACCAUUGGUGAUCAUAUAAAUUGGUACAGCCACUAUGGAAAACCAUAUGAAAAUUCCUCAAAACAUUAAAAAUAGAACUACCAUACGAUCCAGCAAUUCCACUUCUGGCUAUUUCUCCAAAGGAAACAAAGUCACUAUCUUGAAAAGAUAUCUGCAUGCCUAUGUUCUUGCAGCAUUAUUUAUAACUGAGACAUUGAAAUGACCUGUGUCUGUCAUUAGAUGAAGACAAUGUGAUAUAUAUAAAUACAUACACAAUGGAAUAUUAUUCAGGCAUAAAAAAGAAGGAAAUUCUGCCAUUUGUGACAAGAUGGAUAGAUACAUCCUGAGAAUUAUACUGAGUGAAAAAGAAAGCACAUUCUGUAUGAUCUCACUUUUAUGUGGAAUCUUAAAAAAAAAAAAAAUUGAUACAGAGAAUAGAUCAGUGUUUGCCAGGGGCAGGGAGUAGAGUUGGGUGGACAAAAUGGUUGAAGAUGGUCAAAAGGUACAAACUUCCAGUUAUAAGUAAGUCCUAGGGAUGUAAUGUCCCAGAUGGUGACCAUGUAUGUAUUACAUAUUUGAAAGUUGCUAAGAGAAAAAUCAUAAAAGUUCUUAUCAUGAGAAAAUACAUGUGUAACUGUGUGGUGAUGCAAAGUAGAGAUCAGAGUUUAGGGACAGUGAGGUAAUUGGAAGUAAGCAGAAUUCCAGAAAGGAAUCAAUACAGUGUCUUCACUGUGUCUUCACUGAGUACUUGGCUGCAUAUAGGUAGAAUGACACUCUACAGGAUCAAGCAAGAAGUGACUUAGGUUACGAGGCUAGUUGCAAACAGCAAUUCCCAGAGCUCACAGAGGGUGAAGAGCCAGAGUGAAGAGUCCUCAGUAAUCACCCGGGGUAUUAAGUAGAGGGGGAUCAUGCCUUUUGUAGUGACCAUAAAAUAUCCCUGGAGUAAGGGGCACCUGGGUGGCUCAGCUGGUUAAGCGUCCAACUCAGUUUCAGCUCAGGUCAUGAUCUUGUGGUUUCAUGAGUUCGAGCCCCGCAUCAGGCUCUUAGCUGACAGUGCUGAGCCUGCUUGAGAUUCUCUCUCCCCUCUCUCUCUGCCCCUCCCCCACUCACACUGUCUCUGUGUCUCUCAAAAUAAAUAAAUAAAACUUAAAAAAAUAUAUUAAAAAAAAUAUAUCCCUGGAGUGAAGGCCACUUUAGCUUAGACCCACCCUAGCAAAGAUGCUUUAAAUACAAGAUUCAAAGGGAUCAAACUGAUCCACAAAUAAUUGCUAAAACAAAGCCUGACACUGCUAAGUAAACAAAAUCCAGUUCCUCAAUGAUGUAACAGUCAUAAUGUCCUGCACCUAUCUAAUUAAAGAAUUAGUAGACAUGUUAAGAAGCAGAAAAAUGUGACCCAUAACUAAAAGAAAGAGUAGUCUAUAGGAAAAGACCCAGACAUGGCAGUGAUGAAAGCCAGCAGACAAGGAUGUUAAGACAGCUAAUUUUGUACAAGUAUUAAAAACAUGAAAAAAAUUUAAAAUAUUUUUAAGUAACCAAAAUGGGAUAGAAAUAAAAAAUAACUAUAUAUGCAGUGAAAUAUUGAAUAAUUAACAAAUUAGACACUGCAAAAGAAAAGUUCAGUGAAAUUGAAGACCUAGCAAUAAAAUCUAUCCAGAAUACAGCAUUUUCUUUUUGUCACAUAGAAAAAUGAACAAAUAAUGGCCAAUUUUUUUCAGAUUUGAGGAAAGCCCUAAACUGACAGAGUGAAGAAGUUUGAUAAACUCCAAACAGGAUAAUGAUGCACUCCAUAAUCUAACUGCCGAAAAACAGCAAAAGACAUUCUUUAAAUAGGGUAAAAAACACCUUAUUACCACAGAAACAGGUAACAAAUUCCACCAACUUCUUAAAAACCAUAUAGCUCAAAACAAAACCUUAAGUGUUGAGGACCACCUCACACCCAUUACGAUGGCUACUAUCAAAACAAAACUAACAAAAUACAAGUGUUGGUAAGGAUGUAGAGAAAUUGCAGCCCUUGUGUACAACUGACUAUAAAAUGGUACAGCUACUAUGGAAAACAUGGCAGUCCCUCAAAAAUUUUCAACUAGAAUUACUCUAUGAUCCAGCCUUCCUACUUCUGGGUAUAUACCAAAACUAAAUGAAAGCAGAGACUGAAAGAAAUAUUUGUACACCAGUGUUCACAACAGCAUUAUUCGUAAGAGUCAAAAGGUUGGAAGCAACACAAGUGUCUAUUGAUGAACAAAUGGAUAAACAAAAUGUUACAUACACAUACAAUGCAAUAUCAUUCAGCCUUUAAAAAAGUCUCACACAUGCUACAACAUGGAUGAAAUUAGAGGAUAUUAUGCUAAGUGAAAGAUAAGCACCUAUACCCUAUGGUCCCACUUACAUGAGGGACCUACAACAAACUUAGACAGAAUGGUGGCUGCCAGGGGUUGGGGUUGGGAGGAUUUAGUUGUUUAACGGGUACAGAGUUUUGUUUUGCAAGACGAAAAAAGUUCUGGGAGAUUGGUUGCAAAACAACACGAACCAUAAUGAAUUGGACACUUUACAAUGGCUAAGAUGGUCAACUUAAUGUUAGGUAUAUUUUGCCAACAGGUUUUUGGGUUUUUUUAACCUUUAAAAAAAUAAUGCUUAGGAGAAAACCUGCUAUGUGUCUUCUCCCUGCCUUCCCUAGAGAGCUGUCUGUUCUAGUUGAGCCCCACCACAUCUGAGAAGCUUUUCCUCAUCUUUCCAUUUCCCAUGUCUCCGAAUUCCUGUACCACCCUACUUAGUACUGAAUUAUCUUCUUGUCUUGACAAGCUGUAGGACCCCUGAGGAAAAGAACUAUGUCUUCAGCUUGUCUUGGGGGCCCUGAUAAUACCAGUCGUAGAGGAAGUGUAUCAGUCAGUGUCUAAUCAGUGAAACAGAAACCACAUUAAGUAUUUCAAACAGGGUGUGUGGGUGGCUCAAUCAGUUGAGCGUCCAACUCUUGAUUUCAGCUCAGGUCAUGAUCUCAUGGUUUGGGAAUUCAAGCCCUGUGUGGGCCUCUUCGGUGAUAGCAUGGAGCCUGCUUCGGCUCUUAGGUCUCCCUCCCUCUCUCUGCCCCUCCCCCACUUGUUCUCUGUAUCUCUCUCAAAUAAAAAUAAACUUUAGAAAAAAUUUAGGGGCACCUGAGUGGCUUAGUCGGUUAAGUGUCCAACUAUGGCUCAGGUCAUGGUCUUACCGUUUGUGAAUCUGAGCCCCAUGUAGGGCUCUCUACUGUCACCACGGAGCCUCUGUCUUCCUCUCUCUCUGACCGUCCCCCAUUCAUGCACAUUCCCUCUCUCAAAAACAAGUUAUUUUUAAAAUUUUUUUUAGAAAGUGUUUCAAACACAAGAAAUGUAAUAUAGGGAGUUUGUUACAAAGGUCUUCAAAGGGCUGGAGGAGCAAAGGAGGAAUAAGUGUAUCUAAAGAAUACUAAGGAAACAGCUGCUAUUCCUAUGGCGGGAAGAAGCAAAAAGGAAAAUCCUAAGACCCACAGUCACUAUCGCUGAGGCUGCUACUGUGGAACCAAGCAGCCAAGAGCCUACUCUCAUCAGCCACAGCUGCCACUGUGCUGGUGCACUCCAGCUUCUGCCGCUGGAGUACCGCAGCCAGUACCAUUGCUUGUGACACCACUGGAAGAUGGGUUCUCCCCCCCAGUAUCCCAGUAGUGCCUCUCACAGGUCAGACUUACAGAAAUCCAGCUGCAGAGUCUAGGGAAAUGUAGCUUGUGGAUCUCCUGCCACAACAGUGAAGAGGAAAAAAUAUAGAAGAGUUAAUAUGGAGCUGGAGGAGGGGUACCCAGGUGGCUCAGUUGGUUAAGCUUCCAACUUUGGCUCAGGUCAUGAUCUCGUGGUUCGUGAGCCCGAACCCUGCAUCAGGCUCUGUGCUGACAGCUCAGAGCCUGGAGCCUGCUUCAGAUUCUGUAUCUCCCUCUCUCUCUGCCCCUCCCCUGCUUAUGUUCUCUCUCUCUCUCUCUCUCAAAGCAUAAAUAUAUAGAGAGAGAGCUGAAGGAACAGACAAUAUCCAGCACCCUCCUUUAACUACUCUGCCUGUACACCCAUCCUCUUGCCUCUUUUUGAGAUUUAUACACAACAAACUUUUCUUGUACAAAGUACACUUAAUCUCUCCCCCCAAAGAAAGACAAAACAUCCCACCAGUCACUAUGAACAUCUGGAUGAUGAGAAUUUUAGUUGAGACAAUCCCCCUGGAGGAUAUUUUAUCAUCUUGAGUCUCAAUUAUAAAUCAGUCACCACCAAAACUUUUAUAUUUAACAGAAGAGAGAGGGAAGGUGAUUAACAAGUGAAAAUAUGUAGGAAAGCAACAGCUGGCAUUGUCCUCAUUGUUAUAAAUCGUAUGGCUAUCUCUUAUCUUGUCUUCACAGCCCAGAUCAUUUUCUUGUUGCCCUCAGUCAGCAUCUUAGCCGGCUGGGGUUUUUUACCUAGUGAGGAGACCCUACCCUUCAUUCCUCAAGUAUCUAAGUCCUUAUUGAUUCUUCCUUUGGUGAGUUACUGUAGCCUUCUAUUAAUUUUGAACAGCUGAACGUAGAAGCACUACGGAAGCACUCCAGAGAGUGCCCUCCAUUGCUUAGCAACAGCCAUAUUUCCCUUGACAAUUGAGACCAAGCACCCCAGUCAAUACAGUAACCCCUUACUUUUCCCCUUGGUUCAGUGGCACAAGCACCCUAAAUGCCCAAGUGCAAGUCACACUUUCCAGUUCAUUGAGAGCACUGUUGGUUUCCUAAUGGACACAUUCCUCCCUUGGGACUCAACCAGCAGAUCCCAAAGUUUCAAGUACAGAAGCCAAAAUUCUGUGAGUGGGGUUAUUAGAUGUAUUAUUGAGAAGAGCCAUUCUUCCUAUUCCCCAAGCCCUGCUUGAUUCCUGGAUCCUUUGAUUCAGUGGACAACUCACUAGCAAAGAGCAUUCCUAAUGCCCAAAUUGUAGUUUAUAAAUACCAUUCACACUUUUAAAACAACAACAACAAAACCCACCUCCUUGGAGAAUGGCUAAUUAAAGGUAAGGGAUGAGAAAUAUAGAGAACUCGGAAAGCCUUCUUGUUUCGGAAAAUAAGGCAGUUAUCAGAAAUUCCUGGAGUCAAGUCAAAAAGACACAGAGCUUUGGGGAUUUUAAAGCCUAACUUUAAAGGGCUCUCACUGGCUUUAGCAGGCUGCAUAAUGGCCACCAAUGAUAUCAGGUCCUAAUCUUUGAAAGAUGUGUUUCCUUAUACUGAAAAAAUUUUGCAAAUGUGACUAAGGAUUUUGAAAUGGAGAGACCACGGGAUAGUCAGGGUGUGUCCUAAAGGCAGUCAUACAUCUCUUUUAUGAGAGGGAUGCAUAAGAAGAUUUGAGACACAGAAGAGAAAGCCAUAUGACCACAGAGGUGGAGGUUGGAGUAAUGUGGCUACAAGCCAAGGAUGGCUGGCAGGUACCAGAAGGUAGAAGAGGCAAGGACCACAUUCACCCCUACAGCCUUCACAGUGAUCACAGCCUUGCCAAUACCUGGAUUUUAACCCAGUGAAACUGAUUUUGGGUUUCUGGCCUCCAGGACUGUGAAACAAUAAAAUUUCUGUUAUUUACAGCUACCAAAUUUGUGACAAUUUGGUACAGUAGCCACAGGAAAAUAAUACACUAGCCAAAAAUGGAGCAUUUCAAGCAUCAAAAUAAUUGAAGUGCAUCACAGCAUAUAAAGUAUGUUUUUAACCCACAGGUUCAAAAUGAUACCAACACCUUCCCUAUGUAUGUAAAUUUGCUGCUAAACUGUUCAGUGUUCUAAAAGCUGAUAAUGGGAAAUAACUGUACCUCACUGGAAUAAUAGUUAUGAAAAAUUUGUGCUUUAUAAAAAUGUGAAGGAUUUGUAGAAUUAAGAGGUUUCCAUUUUACAAUUCAUUAUGAAAUAAUAUCAACGAUCAUCAAUGACUGCUAAAACGAUUAGGUCGAAAGGUUAUGGGGAAUUUAUAAUCAUGCUGACAACGUCCAAACCCCACAGUUCAGUCCCAUCAUUUUAAAACACACAUACACAUACACACACACACACACACACACACACACACACACACACACAAAACGAUGUUAUGUACCUCCUGCUGGGAUACAACAGGAAAUACAAAAUACCAACCAUGACAUUUUCUUGGCAAAAUUUCAAAACUGGAUCAGGCUCCCCCAGAUCCAAAUACCAGUUUAUAAGAAAUAUUGGGGAGAGAAAUAUGUUAAAUGAAAGAACUGAUAGGAUCCUAUAAGCAGAAUCCACAAUGUGAGGGAAAAUGUAGAGGGAAAAGACCUACCUUGUUCAACAAAUUGCCAAAAAGACCAAAAAGGAGGAAGGGGAAAUUUAUAAUUAAAGAUUUAAGAGAGUUCAAAUGUUACCGUUUCUGUAAACCUUUAAUAGACUCCUUGAAAUAGAACAAAUCCCUCACUUCAAAGCAAUCCCAACACAUCAAGAACUUGACACUCCACUAUGCCCCUUUUACCUAUUUCAGGAUUCCCCCCUCCCCUUCCACCUUACUCAGAUUCAGUUCCAUGGUCAUCAUUAUGACCACUCUCUUGCACAUAACAUAAGCUCCUUUGCCCCCUCUCAUACUUCCUUGGGUAGAUCACACACCUGAGUAAAUCCUACUCUAUAUGCCUGUCCUCUAGCAGCUGAAUGUGGAUGAAUAGCUGAUUUCUUUUUAGACUCACCCUCCUUAAUGUCACUGGAACCUUAAUGCUGCCUGGCAGUUUUUUCCCCUUGGUCGGGCUUCUUUUCCAGUUUCCAAUUUGAAACAAUUAUACCUUUUCCUCUUUCCAAACACCUCCAAAAUCUCCAUCCUCAUCUGAUAAAGUCAUCUUGCUUGAUAUUUCACUGAACUAAAUAAAAGUAAUAAGAGAACUUCCAAGACAUCUAAAUGACUAAUAAACAUAUGAAAAGCUACUACACAUGCAAAUUAAAACUGUAGAACCUGGUACCACUACCACUCACCAGAACGGUUAAAAUGACAGUAGAAAUACAGGCAUUCCUCAGACAUUUUGUGGCUCGGGCUCCAGACCACUGCAAUGAAACAGCUAUCACAAAAAGACAGGUCAAAUUAAUUUUUUGGUUGCCCAGUGCAUAUAAAAGUUACAAUUAUGCUACACUGUGGUCUAUGGUGUGUGCAAUAGCAUUAUGCCUUAAAAAAAAAAAAAAAAAAAAAAGAGUACAGACCUUAAUUUGAAAAUACUUUAUCAUUAAGAAUAAAUGCUAACCAUCAUCUGGGCUUUCAGCAAGUUGUCAUGUUUUGGCUGGUGGAGGGUCUUGCCUCGAUGUUGAUGGCUGCCGCGUGACCAGGGUGGUGGUUGCUAGGAUGUCUGUGGCAGUUUCUUAAAAUAAGACAACAAUGAAGUUGGCCACAUCAUUCACUCUUCCUUUCACAAUUUCUCUGUAGCCUGUGAUGCUGUUGGAUAGCAUUUUACCCAGAAAACUUCUUCCAAAAGGACUCAAUCCUCUGGCUGCUGCUUUAUCAACUAAAUUUAUGUACUCAACACUUUGUUGUCAUUUCAACAACCUUCACAGCAUCUUCACCAGUCGAUUCCAUCUCGAGAAACCACUCAUCACCGUAACAAAUAUAAUAAUAAUGAAAAAGUUUGAAGCACCUCAAGAAUUACCAAAACAUGACAAGGACACAGUGAACAAAUGCUAUUGGAAAAAUGGCACCCAAAGACUCCCUCAACAUAGGAUUGCCACAAACCUUCCAGGUGUGAAAAACAGAAGCACAAUUCAGUGAAACUAAAUAAAAUAAGGUGCAAUGUUAAUGAAAGAAGAGAGAAACCGAACUCCACAAGCUCCCACUGCUUCAUGGAACUGACCACGUGCAUCUGAGCCCCUUCACUGGCCUUCACUCCUGUUACUGUGGGUGUUCCAUCAAAGAUAGGCUUUGCCUCCUGUGCCCUACAGAAUUACCCCCUCUCUUCCUAAGAAUGCCACUCUGGCAGGUCUCCCAUCUCAUUCCCACACCUUUUCUCUCGACUAAAUUUUUCCCAUCAACCUACAGACAUACUAUCACUUUUCUAAUGUCUAAGACAACCUUCUCAACCUUCGGUUGCUGUAGUUUUUUCCCCUUCUCUUGGGCUAGAGCAAAACUCAAAUGAUUAUAUGCGCUGAAUGCCGAUUUGUUCUAAUACCCUCUUUGAACCGCUCCAGUCAUGUUCUCACCUCCACACUCCACAAACACGGAUCUUCUCAUCCAGGUCACCUCCACAUUGUUCAGCCCGGUAGCCACUUCUUCAUCGCCGUCUUCUGUGAUUUUCCGCCGUUUUAGGCUUAGUCAUCAACUCCCUCUUUCCCAGAUCACUUUCUCCUUCAGGCUUCCAGAAUACUGAGCGCCCAUGUUGCCCUCUACCACACUACUAGCUGCUCCUUUCCAACUUUCCUAUAUGCUUCCUCUUUACAUCUCUGGCCUCUCAGUUUGGAGAUCCCCAGAGUUCAUCCAGGGGCUUAGUGUCCAUCCAUGUUUUCUCCUUUGGGGCUCGUAUGCAGCAUCACGUACACACUGCGUAAGUGGAGGAACACCAACGAAAUGUCUCCAGCCCAGACCUCUCUCCCGAACUCAGGCUCCUGACACAUCUGUCUCCCAGCGUUUCUACCUAGAUGUCUAACAGGCAUCUCCAAUUUUCUAUGUGCAACAUCAAACUCCGGAUCUGCCCUUAAAAACCCACUCUUUCACAGGUUUCCCGUCUUGGUUAACGGAAACUCUAUCCUUCUGACUCCUCACCAGGACAAAACCCUCGGAGACAUUCUUGACUCCAUUCUUGACCAUUUCUCUCCUAAACAAACUCAGUCUGUCAGCACGUCCUCAAACAGAACCGCCAAAGCAUUUCUAGAAUCGGACCACUCUCACCAUUUCUACUUCUGUAACCCUGGCCUAAGCCACUAUUGCUAGUGCCAGGAUUAUUGCCAGAACCUCCUAACUGGCCUUCCUGCUUCCCCUCCCUCCCAACCAGUCUGGUCUUGGUGCACCAUUGAAACAUUGGCCAGAUCAAGUCAGUCCUCUGCUCAAAACCUUCCACGUCCUACCUAUUUCACGCAAAGACAAUUUCUGUGUGACGGGUUACAAGGGCAUUCACAGCAUACCCCUUCUCCCUUGUACUGUUACCUCUUCUUUGUCCCCACCUUUCCUCUGCUCCAUUGACACUAGCCUCCUUGCUGCUCCUCAAACAUGGAAGACAAGCUUCUGCUUCAAGGCCUUGCAACUCUUUCCUCUUGGCCUAGAAUGCUCUUCCCCCAUUUAUCCUCAUGGAUCAUCCCUUCAUCUUCUUCAGAUCUGGACUCAAAUGUCACUUUUUCAUUAAGGGCCUCCCUGACCACAGUAUUUACCAAUGUUAAGCACUCUCCCUCUCCACCCCACUCUCCUACAGUCUCUAUCACUUCCUUUAAUUUCUCUCUAGCACCAUCUCCUUCCUAUACACAUAUGUAUUACUUAUCUGUCUGCUGUCGGUUUCCUGCUAGUAUGUAACAACAGGAGCAUGAGGAUUUCUGUCUUGUUGACUGCUAUAUCCCCAGUGUCAAGAACAAUGCCUAGUAAAUAGUAAGAGUUUAGUUACUAUUUGCGGAAUGAACAUAGGAGUUAUGUCAGUCCCUGUCACACACUCAAGCUUCAUAGAGAUGGGAACCACAUCUUAACUAUCUUUGUAAUAAAUGACUGACUAAAUGGAAGAAAGAAGAACGGAUCUUCAGUUUAAUGAAGGUACUUACUGAAGGCAAUGCAUUCAAUUGUCCUUUUCAUUUUUAAUGCAAAUACUUGAUCUCCCCUGAACAAAUCAGGUCAGGUAUUCCCAAACAAUGUUACCAACUGCCUUUUCUUCCUUUGUUAAAUUUUCCCUCAAUCAAGAGCAAAGAUUACAAUAGGCAGAACAUGCAAUAAAAAUAUAGUGAUUAAACAAUGCUUACCAAAUCAAAAAGAGGAAAUAUUCAAACCUUGAGAGGUAAUACAAACAUUGUUGCACUACUCACUUAUGAUUUUUCUUGUCCCAAGAAAGGUUAAAGAAACAGAUAUGAUUCAGGAGGAAGGAAAAAACCAACAGAUAUGUUGGUUCAAUCAUAUGAUUUCUAAAAUACACUCAAUAAAUGAGGGCAAAUUUUGACCCUUCUGAUAUGAA